AUGUGUCCAUUGCUGCCGAAUGUAACUUUUAAUAAAGUGUGUCAUUUUAUAGAUGUCUGUCUCAUUCUUGGUGCUAAGGCUGGGGGGAAAUGUGUGUUCUGGUUUGGGAAACCCAGGCUCGUGGUCGUGGGUGGGGGACCAGGCUGUGGGUGUGCAUCCCUUCCUUCAGCUGGACAGCCCGGAUGGAUGGAGGCUGAGCGCAGCGAGGGAAGCGAGGGUUUGUUUUAUUUCAGGCACCCAUUGCUCUGUCCAGGAUGGUGGAUCCAGGAAUGCCGCUUUUCCUGGAGGUUGAGCCGCAGCUGGGCCGAAGCAGGAAGCUGCAAGGCACAAGACGAGCAGCCUUUCUAACUUUGCUAUUUCGACGUGUUUAUCUUGCUGCAAACAGCCAAGAGUUAUCUUUCCUUUUAUACUGGAAGUUUCUUUCUCCAUGUCUCCACCUUUGUCUGCUGCCACUCAGGUAAGGUGAGACCUGGGCACGUCCUGGACCACGGGGCAUUACCUGAUAAACCAAAGCAAUAAGCUAAAGUGUGUAGAAGCAUGGUCAACCUGGUGUCCUUAGGACUUAAUAAUUCUGUUUAAAUGUUGUAGAUCAUCAACAUCCAAUAUCUGACUCAAUAUAAGCAGGAGGUUUUCCUAGCAGCCCUUCUUGUGGUAAGUUAUGGCACGGUCUCCAUCCCCUGAUGGAGCAGCCAUGUGGCCUUUGCCAAGGCAACCCACACCCGUGUGCGAGGCUGUGGGGUCAACUCAGCCACUGCUUUAUGUGGGCCCUGUCACCUUUCAGAUUUCAUCCAGAUGGCAAGAGCAGUGUGGGGAUCCAGUUACAGCCCAAAGGCUCCAAUUCCCUUUUUGAGUUACUCCUUUCUGGCCCUUCAAAAUCUGCAACAUUUAUAGCCUUUGUUCCCAGUAACCCUGAGCUGCCACAAAAACUGUGGAUUUUGGGCACAUCCUCAGUGUUACCUGUAAUGGCCUUCACUGGGAUAUGUUGAUCUGAAUUUCACAAUCCUCUCCUAGGGGCACUUGCUCCCUUACCAAAGACAUAAGGAUAUUUUUCCUUGCUUCUUCUUCCCUGCCCCUACAGCAUUACAGCAUGAAACACCCGGGAACUGUGUUAACUCAGGCCCUUCUGUAGAGACCCACAGUUGUGUUCAACAGAGCACAGGACAACCUUGAAACAGGGUUGAAAAAAAUCCACUUUCAGUCGUGAGUCGGUGUUGGAUGAUAGAAGUUGGCUCAGAGUCUGUAUUACUUUUCUUAAGUCAGCUUUUACUGGCUUUGAGGUUGGUUCCGGCCCAUUUGCAGCCCACCGGGGAGCUGCAAUGGCGGCUUUAUCUGGCACGAAAGCUUUCACCCCAAUUUGAUAAAGCCAGCAGAAUUCCUGGUGCUUCCAAAAACCCCUCCCAGCCCUUCAUCUUUCUGUCCUAGGAGCGGAGGGUGUUUGUGCUACGUGUGACCGUGUGUGGUUUGCGCACACGCAGCCCAGUCUGAGGGUGUUUGGGAACACUGGCUCGCAGGAACGGGGAUGGGUUGGCUGUGGCCCUAAACAAGCAAAGCUGGUGUGAGUGCUGCGAUCCCACGUGAAAUGCAAAUCCUGCCGCCUGUGGCGGGGCUUUGCUGCUGAAGGAGGAGUUGGGAGAGCAGAGUUUGGUCCCUGGAGCUGUCACGGCUCUUCCCAUGCAGGUGUAAACAUCUGUCCAGGUCCCUGGUGGUCACCUGGGAUGUGGGAAGAUGCUAGUGGGGCAUUGUGCACCUAGCCACAGACUGUGAGAGUUGUAAAUGUGAUGUGUUACAGUUGCAGGGAAAGAAAGGGAAGGAAGAAAGUUCAAGGGAAGGUCUCAAGGGUACAAGGAAGUGUUGUCAGUGAUUUUACUGGUGGGAUUUACUAGAAGUCUGCUUUUGAGUUACUGUGAAGAAUUAGUGUUACCAGAAGUUGGCUGUCCAUGUCUUUGUCAAUCCUGAGUGUCUUUUCAGAAGAGAGGAUUCACUGGUCCAGUGAAAUCUCCGUUGGGCAGGGUCCUCGGUCUAUGAAAUCAGGGGUUUUUUGUAAGUUUGUCCACAGCACCUCACUUGGGAUGAGUGCUCUCCUACAUGGUUAGCACAAAUCUAAAUAAAUACAGAAAUAUAAACCGAGCUGGAAAUUUACUGAGUACAAGCUGUCUUGCAAAAUUGCCUGUGUUUCCUGGCUCUGGAUGGGAUGGAAAUACCACAAAGCUCGCUUCUCUCAUAGUAACGUGAUACUUCUGCUUCCGGGCUCAAAGCGGGAGGUGGAAGCGUGUUCAAGAGAGGAAAACGAAAAGCAAAAGCAAAUUAUAAUCAAGCUCAUUUUUAACAUAGCAAAAUCAAACUCUUAAUUAGAAUGCUCGAAGUGGCCACUGUGAUCAUCUACUCAGGCAUCUUGGGUAGUGCAGGGCAUAGAGUUUUGUCCAUCUGCUCUUCUGUGGCACAGAGCUGGAAAAGGGAGAUAACCUGGCCUGGAAGUCUCCAUGGGAAUAAGGCAUGGCGUGGAUCUGCCAGCUGGUUCUCAUCUGACUCCUCUUCAGCCCAAGUGCUACAUCCUGGCCAAGCAAACCUGCUUCCCCACGGGCCAUGCUGGUUCCCAUUUCUCCAGGAGAGGGAAAUC
ensembl:lncRNA